CCCCUUCUCCUAGCCGUUGGUUCGACGACUGGAAGACCUAGCCCCAGCACGGCAUUCCGCACGGCGAUGGCCAGACGAUCGUCCCCUCUUCCCCGACCUGUCCGCGGCAGACAUGCGAACGCUUCGCGCCGCGCUGAUCUGUUUCCGCCCCAGAUUCGUUCUGGUUCGCGAGCUACGGUAGCCCUGCAACUGGGGGGUCAUCGUUGAGGGCCCAGAUUUGAAGGCCAUUGUAAUAGAUUGGAGAAAAACAUAUCAUUGAAUGUAAUUGUAUACACCUCCUUCCAAUCAGCACCUGUAGAAAAUAUGGAAAUGUGAUGCUGCAAAGGUCAUGUUGUCUUGCCAGUUCCAUGAAUGAAAUACCAAGGUAAGAUCGCCAAAUUUGUUUCCCAUAACCAAUUCUUCGGACUUGUAUCUUUUCUUCAGAGUUAUGAUUAUCAUUUGCAAAAGUAUGGUUCACUUAAAAUAUGAUUUUCCAAAUAUUAUCCAUCUUUUGUUUCUCAGUGAUUACUUAGGUCCAUUGUAUCUAUAGUGUAAAAAGAACACACAAAGCAAUUAAGUUGAUACAUGCAAAUGCUAGUGUAAUUAAUUGCUACUGUUAGGGACUCGUUUCGGACAAGUGCAGGACUGAUUACUUGAGUGGAGGGUUGCUGAGGAUCAUUCGUAGUUAAAGUGCACCUUCCAUAGUUACUAGGUUUUCAUGAUACCAAGGUAAGAUCGCCAAAUUUGUUUCCCAUAACCAAUUCUUCGGACUUGUAUCUUUUCUUCAGAGUUAUGAUUAUCGUUUGCAAAAGUAUAGUUCACUUAAAAUAUGAUUUUCCAAAUAUUAUCCAUCUUUUGUUUCUCAGUGAUUACUUAGGUCCAUUGUAUCUAUAGUGUAAAAGGAACACACAAAGCAAUUAAGUUGAUACAUGCAAAUUCUAGUGUAAUUAAUUGCUACUGUUAGGGACUCGUUUUGGACAAGUGCAGGACUGAUUACUUGAGUGGAGGGUUGCUGAGGAUCAUUCGUAGUUAAAGUGCACCUUCCAUAGUUACUAGGUUUUCAUGAUACCUCAAGGAUUGUUAUGUCUGUGCACAGCCGUAGUUACUUAGAAUGGCAUAUUGUAGUAGAUACAUGGCACUAUUAUUGACGGUUUAUGACACUGCAGGUUCAACUAUUCAUUUCUAGUAAUUUGGAAACUAAAUUUUGUAAGGAGUAGGUACAGUUAAAUUUAUUUCUUAAUAAAUAGCACAAUAGUAAUGUCAAGGAAAAGUAAUAUACCUUGUUGCAAGUACAUGAUGCAUUUGCCCAUAUCACUUAUUCGGUUAGACUGAAAUUUUAAGCGCUCAUCUCCUUUGGAAGACUAACUUCCAGGAAGUACAAGCUGCCAAUUGAAGUUUAUCGAACGUCAAGAGACAUUUCCAAACAUAUGUGCAUUGAUGUGAAGGAAAAUGUAGCUGAUAUAAAUGGUACUGGUACACCAAUUUAUGUAUCGGUGCAUUGUUAGAUAAUGUUAAUCAAAUAGUUUUUGUAUCAAUUCCUCAUCAAAUUAUGAUCUUAUAUCACUACAUCUUUAUGAGUUUUCUUCUGUAUAUUACUAAUACAGCCCCUUAAAUUUGUGUGAAGCAGUUGUUUCUCUAUAUGUAACGAGUCAUGAACAAAAGGUAUUCCGAAGUCUUUUUAGAUAGUUAUAUAUUGGACUAAAAUUCAUUAAGUUAUAAAAAAUAUGAAGAUACAAAUUUUCAUACAAGACCUUUGUGAUUUUUCAGUUUUGACAUACUGGCACACAUAAAAGAUAAUUGCCUUAUGUAAUUUGAAUUGCAUUGCGUAUCAUAUGAGUGUAAGUGUAACACACCUCAUGGACAUAAAAGCCAUGCCAACGAAUACAGCUUUCACAGCAUCCUUGCGUCCAGCGUAUUCAAUUGCUAAUGGCAGCAUCUCAUACAGUGUCAGAAAUGCCAUUACUCCUCCCACUGUGCAAAAUGGAAAAUUUGAAUAAAUAUUAUGUUACUUACCAAAACUUAUUAACAUUUUUGAACUGUUUGUUUCUCAUUACCUAAUCCAAGUAGACCUUCCAAUAUUUCUGGAUUUAAGUUGCUCGGAAAUAGAUAUGCUGCAAGUAGCACAAUUUUAUACUCAUUGUUUGAGAUACAAAAGAGGAAAAUAGAAAUGAAGUGCACAAACUCAACCUAGGAUAUUACUCAUUGAAGGGGAAAAAAAUCUGCUUGUAAAGAUAAGUGCUAGAGAAAGAUUAGUUGCAAUUGGUUGUUUGCUUUUAAUGCAGCUCUGCAUCUCAUUGAUUAGAGCAUUUUUUAUGCUCUAGUAUGUAGCACGAUCCAUUUUCAAUGACUGAGCUUCUCAAACAGAUAGUAACAUGGGUCAGUACAUCAUGACCUCAUGGGGAAAACUCAAUUGCUUUGAACAAGUCACUUGUAAUAAAAUAAGCGAAGUCAACAUACCCACGAUAAUUACACCUAUUGGCUCUGCAAAACCAGCAAGUGUUGCUAGUUUGAACGCCUGCCAUUUGCUGCAUCAUAGACACAAAAUAACAUUAUUAUUAAACUGCAAAGCUUAUUUUCUUUCCAAAUCAGUGUGACUAUAAUAUUUAUUAUGAACACUUAAUGUAUUUUAGCAAUUAUACGCUUCUUUUUUAUUAUACAACAAAUUAUAUGCUUCUUCAGGUAAUAACUAGUUCGACUAGCCUUCUGAUUUUUUUUUUUGAGGGAACUAGCCUUCUGAAUUAAACCAACUAAGCUGUGACUAUUUUCUGAUCAUUAAGACGAGAUUUUGUAUAAAAUACUCCUACAUGUAAUUCAAUACUGUCAUAUUAAAAUAUGUACUUCCUUGUUUAGCUGCAAGUCUCCUCAACCCGGAAUUCGCAUAGACCAAGAAAGCACUAUAUCUAAUAAGUGAUGAGGAAUGACCAUGCAUACCCCUAUUAAAUGAGAUACUGCAAGCACUUAACUCUUCCAGAGCAUGCUAAGUAGGGGUAGAAUGGAGUAUUGCAUUAACCUAUUGACCCCUCGAUGGAUAGUUAUUUCGAAGUUGAGACUUCUCAGGCCAGGGACAGUUAAUAGUGAAGGUGAGAGAGCGUAAAAUAUAUGAUGCAUAUUGCACAAUAUUUUAGCUAGUACCUGCAAGUGGCAAAAUAUGCAGGGAGAGCUACAGCAAUACCCUGCACAUGAACAGAAAAUUCCUACAAGUAUUAGCAGAUUCUUUGAUCUUGUAAACUUAGCUAUGUCAUGAGAAAUAUACCAAUUUUUCAUAAGAGUCAGUUGUGUAAAAUUCACCACACUAUUGUAUUGUAUUAUUAUGUAUCUUAAAUGGCAUAUCUGCUAUGCACUUGCACCGUGAAAAGGUAGGGAGUAUCUAGUCCCAAUUUUGUAUGUUGGUGACUGAUUGAGAUUGAGAAUGGAAGUUCCACUUUCAGUUUCCGCCAAAAGGGGUAUAGUUUAAGUCAUUGUAGAUACUUAGAUGACAUUUUCUGUUCCAUACCCAUUCCCUAUUCCAUCUAAAAGCCAUUAUAGAUUCAGUUACCUCCGGGAUGUAGUGUAGAGCUAUAGCAAUAACCAAGUUAAGGCCAACACGAAAUCCCUGAAAGGUAGAUAAGAUUAGUAGGAUAUACAACAAAUAUUACUACUCUUCGAUAUGUUAACUCAGUGUCUUGUUCAUACUUAUUCGAUAUGUUAACAGUGUUAUGGGCUAAAAUAAACAUGUGUCCAGAAUAACAGCAAAACUGCUAUUCUACUAUAACAUGCACGAACGGAGAUGUAACAUCUGUAGACACAUGACCCGUAGAUUUUGUUGUAUGGAGUGUUCAGUACUUCCAUAUGAUUUAUCAGGUAUAUAAAUUAAUAGAAAUAAUACCAGUCAAUAAUAUAUAUAUAUAUAUAUAUAUAUAUAUAUAUAUAUAUAUUCAACUACCUGUCAAUAAUAUAAUUGAAAUUUAUCAUAAAAAUUAAUUCAAUGGCGAAGGAUACAUAUACAAAAGCAAUUUACUGUUUUUGUCAAAUUUUGUAUGCUUGCCUAUAAUAUACUGUAUUUUCUCAAAUAUAUACCUUUGCGGUUCCGAGAAACGCUGCAGUACCCACCGGGAAGUUUUGCAAACUCACACCAGCAACUGUUGACAUGAGAACUUCGUUCAUCAAUGCGAUCAUGGAAAAUAAUAAACUUGUAGGAAAGGGGCAUAUCGUUACGUGUAUAUGCAUAUAUCGCCCUACCUAAUUUUGAUAACUUUGUAUUUUCAUGUGCGUGAUUUAUUUUUUCUGACAUGCGUACUUUAUGGAAAACUACUGCUGCUAUCACUUGCCAAGAUAGAAUUAGUUUUAGGUGUUCAACAGGCGCUGUUGAAAUAUAACUAUUUUUUGGUCAUAACUACUUUUACUGCCAGUAUCACUUGUUAAAUCAUGUCCAUGAUCUUGAACUGUAUUUAGGUGUUCAAUUUGAGUAAUUAAUCUAAUAUUUCUGUACACUGUCUUGUAUGAACAAGCCCCAUACAUUUAUUUGGUGUCAAUAUGCUCAAGCUCGGUACUAAAAUGUUAGGUAUAAUUAUAUAAGAAAAUCAUCUGAAAGAACACCUAUCACCAAAAAUUGGAUUUCUGUAUAAAUUAUUAAAGGGCAUGUUUUGUCUUUCCGGGCUCAUGUUGUUGAAAACACUGUGAUGCAUUUUUGGUACUAUAUGUUACAAGUUUUGCAAGUACAUAGGACUUACCAACUGCGGUGACAAUUACACUAAAGAUGACUCUUCUUCGGUGUCUCAUCAUAAGUUCCUUCCGUGCUGUACUGUUAACAGUCUUCUUCCCCAAAUGAAAAACAUAAUGGAUAAUCCUAUGUUACUUUUUUGAUAAAUGCCGAUUGAAAAAGGCUGUUAGCAAAGUUGAGGGAAUUUAUACUUCUUUGUCAUUUUCAUCCGGCGGGCUGCAUUCUGGCUCAGGGAAAAUAUCGGCAAUUGCUGAAAAUAGAAGUGCUCCAGCAAAAAACUGCAAAGCAAGGAUGAAAAAGGUAAGAAAUGGUACAAAUGCUUUGCAAAACAUCUUGCUUAAAAAGCUCACCCAAAGGUUGCCUUUCAGAAAACCAAUUGCAUUAACAGCAUCAUAGGCCAGGUCAAAGAAGGACAUGCUCAACAUGAGCCCAGUAGCAAAUCCCUAUAAAGAAGUUGUCAAACGAUUAUUAAAUGUUGAUUUGUGUACAAAUAAACCUAUGUUGUUCUUUCAAUGUGACCUUAUGGCAGAGUUGAGGAAAUUGUUGUAGCAUUUCACCUGUAGUAUCCCGAGUGUUCUGUUGUUUGGUGCAUGAUUUAGUAUUGCCAGUAGUGCACCUGAUGAGUAGCAAUAAAGUAUCAUUGGCAAAAGUAGUAGGCAAAUGCUAGCUAUCAAGAGGUACACCAUCUUGCAUUUGAUCUCUGCCUAGUCUAUAUCAUUCCAACGCUUUCCAAAUAGAUUAUGGGAAAGCUCCCAUUGAGAAAUAAAAUUGCUUUUGGCUGUCACUUGAGUGAUAGCAAUAAUAGUAUCUAUAAAGCAUCAGCUUAUGGGCCCUCUAUUCACGUUAGAUCCUGGUUAUAUCAUAUUGGGUUGCUUACGAACUUAACACUUAAAGGCUUACUAACUAAACACUUGUCAGUUUUAAAAGCUGGAGCGUCUUUCCAGAAAACUUAAACCUACACUAAAAGGCUAGUUGGUGUCGAGGAUGGGUAGGGUGAGUCGGACACAGUGCAGAGAUGUAGGGGGAUACAAAUUUGGGCGAUGAGCGAGUGGAUUCUGCCGUGGAAGCGGGUGUGCUGAACUAACAGGUAAGGACGUGUAAUCCUCAUGCUCAUGUGUGCUUCAUCGAAAAUAAUGUGUACACAAAUUCUUCCCAUUCUUGGUGUAACAGUAGCAGUCUAUUUUCUCUCAGCUGUUAGAUGCCAAGUAUAAACUGAAAAGAUUAAUUGCUCAAUAUUAUGUUUCACUUUGAACAAACUACCAUACUAACGGCCCACAUAACAUUCUCACAGGAUAUUUAUGGAUGCCCCCAUGGACCUUGUACAAUUUCGUGCUUAAGAUGUACUGUGAGAAAUGAAUCUUGAUUGGAGCAACUAAAUGGAAAACCCACACUACCAGUUACAGCUUUUAAAGGGAAACAAUUGCAAAGGCAAUGCAUGCAUCAAAUGAAACACUUGAUGCCAAUGAUGAAUACUACUCCCUCCGUUCCUAAAUAUAAGUCUUUUUAGAGAUUCCAACAUGGACUACAUAUGGAUGUAUAUAGACAUAUUUUAGAGUGUAGAUUCACUCAUUUUGCUCCGUAUGUAGUCCAUGCUGGAAUCUCUAAAAAGACUUAUAUUUAUGAACGGAGGGAGUACAUGAUAAUAGUAUGAAGAGACAGCAGGAGUGAAGGGCUGAAGGAAGAUGCAUGUAAGCGUACCGAGGGAGGUGCUUAAGCCACCUACGAGAGACAGGGUGAGAGCAACAGCGACCUUGGGAUCCAUAUGAACAGACCGGCUUCUGAUGGAGAUGUAUGUGACCUUUAUAUACAGGCCAGGAUGGUGACUAUGACGUUAGGCAGUCAAGGAGUCCCUGUGUGCGGGGCAACCGAUGAUGUAACUGAAUGGAAAGAAGAGGGAGGGGUGAUCAAGUGGAGCUGCUGGCGCCUGGUUAUAUAUUAGCUUGAACAUCUACUCAGAGAAGUUGAGGGGGGCAAGUUUGGAAUGACUUGGCACAUGCUUGCUUGCUUGGCAGCUGCCCUUAAUUCUUGGACUUCCUGGUGGUUGGGGUAUGCCUGCGGGUAAGGUCAUGCUGUGAGGUAACUCUAUGCUAGAUUUCUUGUGUGUAGAUGGGAAGAAAGCUAUUUGGGACUAGGAAUCUUACAAGCUGACUGGCAGAGCCUUGCUAAAACACGAGGGACGUAUCUUAUUUUGUUUUUGUAUGGAAUUACAUCAUGUAAGCACUAAAUUUUGAUUUUUCAUCGUAUAAAUUGCAGCACCGUAUUAGUUA